UACGGGGGGAGCAAGCGUUGUUCGGAUUUACUGGGCGUAAAGGGCGCGUAGGCGGCCAGCACAAGUCAGUUGUGAAAUCUCCGGGCUUAACUCGGAAAGGUCAACUGAUACUGUGCGGCUAGAGUGCAGAAGGGGCAACUGGAAUUCUCGGUGUAGCGGUGAAAUGCGCAGAUAUCAGGAGGAACACCGGUGGCGAAGGCGGGUCUCUGGGCCGAUACUGACGCUGAGGAGCGAAAGCAUGGGUAGCGAACAGG
rnacentral:rRNA from 1 species